AGAGCGAACGCUGGCGGCAGGCCUAAUACAUGCAAGUCGAACGGAUCCUUCGGGAUUAGUGGCGGACGGGUGAGUAACACGUGGGAACGUGCCCUUUGGUUCGGAACAACUCAGGGAAACUUGAGCUAAUACCGAAUGUGCCCUUCGGGGGAAAGAUUUAUCGCCAUUGGAGCGGCCCGCGUCUGAUUAGCUAGUUGGUGGGGUAAAGGCCCACCAAGGCGACGAUCAGUAGCUGGUCUGGGAGGAUGAUCAGCCACACUGGGACUGAGACACGGCCCAGACUCCUACGGGAGGCAGCAGUAGGGAAUCUUGCGCAAUGGGCGAAAGCCUGACGCAGCCAUGCCGCGUGAAUGAUGAAGGUCUUAGGAUUGUAAAAUUCUUUCAGCGGGACGAUAAUGACGGUACCGCAGAAGAAGCCCGGCUAACUUCGUGCCAGCAGCCGC
rnacentral:rRNA from 1 species